UGGGGAAUUUUGGACAAUGGACGAAAGCCUGAUCCAGCAAUGCCGCGUGUGUGAAGAAGGCCUUCGGGUUGUAAAGCACUUUUGUCCGGAAAGAAAUCCUUGGCUCUAAUACAGUCGGGGGAUGACGGUACCGGAAGAAUAAGCACCGGCUAACUACGUGCCAGCAGCCGCGGUAAUACGUAGGGUGCAAGCGUUAAUCGGAAUUACUGGGCGUAAAGCGUGCGCAGGCGGUUUGCUAAGACCGAUGUGAAAUCCCCGGGCUCAACCUGGGAACUGCAUUGGUGACUGGCAGGCUAGAGUAUGGCAGAGGGGGGUAGAAUUCCACGUGUAGCAGUGAAAUGCGUAGAGAUGUGGAGGAAUACCGAUGGCGAAGGCAGCCCCCUGGGCCAAUACUGACGCUCAUGCACGAAAGCGUGGGGAGCAAACAGGAUUAGAUACCCUGGUAGUCCACGCCCUAAAACGAUGUCAACUAGUUGUUGGGGAUUCAUUUCCUUAGUAACGUAGCUAACGCGUGAAGUUGACCGCCUGGGGAGUACGGUCGCAAGAUUAAAACUCAAAGGAAUUGACGGGGUCAUAGCUGUUUCCU
rnacentral:rRNA from 1 species